CCUACGGGCGGCUGCAGUGGGGAAUAUUGGACAAUGGGCGAAAGCCUGAUCCAGCCAUGCCGCGUGUGUAAAGAAGGCCUUCGGGUUGUAAAGCACUUUCAGUGGGGAAGAAAGCCUUGGGGCUAAUACCCUCGAGGAAGGACAUCACCCACAGAAGAAGCACCGGCUAACUCCGUGCCAGCAGCCGCGGUAAUACGGAGGGUGCGAGCGUUAAUCGGAAUUACUGGGCGUAAAGCGCGCGUAGGCGGUCUGAUAAGCCGGUUGUGAAAGCCCCGGGCUCAACCUGGGAACGGCAUCCGGAACUGUCAGGCUAGAGUGCAGGAGAGGAAGGUAGAAUUCCCGGUGUAGCGGUGAAAUGCGUAGAGAUCGGGAGGAAUACCAGUGGCGAAGGCGGCCUUCUGGACUGACACUGACGCUGAGGUGCGAAAGCGUGGGUAGCAAACAGGAUUAGAUACCCUAGUAGUC
rnacentral:rRNA from 1 species